rnacentral:rRNA from 1 species
UACGUAGGAGGCAAGCGUUGUCCGGAAUUACUGGGCGUAAAGCGCGUGUAGGUGGUGGGACAAGUCUGCUGUGAAAGCGCCUGGCUUAACCGGGCGAGGUCGGCGGAAACUGUCCGACUCGAGGACGGUAGAGGGGGGUGGAAUUCCCGGUGUAGUGGUGAAAUGCGUAGAUAUCGGGAGGAACACCUGUGGCGAAAGCGGCUCACUGGACCAUAACUGACGCUGAUGCACGAAAGCUGGGGGAGCAAACAGG